GUGCCAGCAGCCGGGGUAAUACGUAGGUGGCAAGCGUUGUCCGGAUUUAUUGGGCGUAAAGCGAGCGCAGGCGGUUUCUUAAGUCUGAUGUGAAAGCCUUCGGCUCAACCGAAGAAGUGCAUCGGAAACUGGGAAACUUGAGUGCAGAAGAGGACAGUGGAACUCCAUGUGUAGCGGUGAAAUGCGUAGAUAUAUGGAAGAACACCAGUGGCGAAGGCGGCUGUCUGGUCUGUAACUGACGCUGAGGCUCGAAAGCAUGGGUAGCAAACAGGAUUAGAUACCCUGGUAGUCCAUGCCGUAAACGAUGAGUGCUAGGUGUUGGAGGGUUUCCGCCCUUCAGUGCCGCAGCUAACGCAUUAAGCACUCCGCCUGGGGAGUACGACCGCAAGGUUGAAACUCAAAGGAAUUGACGGGGGCCCGCACAAGCGGUGGAGCAUGUGGUUUAAUUCGAAGCAACGCGAAGAACCUUACCAGGUCUUGACAUCCUUUGACCACUCUAGAGAUAGAGCUUUCCCUUCGGGGACAAAGUGACAGGUGGUGCAUGGUUGUCGUCAGCUCGUGUCGUGAGAUGUUGGGUUAAGUCCCGCAACGAGCGCAACCCUUAUUACUAGUUGCCAGCAUUUAGUUGGGCACUCUAGUGAGACUGCCGGUGACAAACCGGAGGAAGGUGGGGACGACGUCAAAUCAUCAUGCCCCUUAUGACCUGGGCUACACACGUGCUACAAUGGAUGGUACAACGAGUUGCGAGACCGCGAGGUUUAGCUAAUCUCUUAAAACCAUUCUCAGUUCGGAUUGUAGGCUGCAACUCGCCUACAUGAAGCCGGAAUCGCUAGUAAUCGCGGAUCAGCAUGCCGCGGUGAAUACGUUCCCGGGCCUUGUACACACCGCCCGU
rnacentral:rRNA from 1 species